CACAUGCAAGUCGAGCGGGCGUAGCAAUACGUCAGCGGCAGACGGGUGAGUAACGCGUGGGAACGUACCUUUUGGUUCGGAACAACACAGGGAAACUUGUGCUAAUACCGGAUAAGCCCUUACGGGGAAAGAUUUAUCGCCGAAAGAUCGGCCCGCGUCUGAUUAGCUAGUUGGUAGGGUAAUGGCCUACCAAGGCGACGAUCAGUAGCUGGUCUGAGAGGAUGAUCAGCCACAUUGGGACUGAGACACGGCCCAAACUCCUACGGGAGGCAGCAGUGGGGAAUAUUGGACAAUGGGCGCAAGCCUGAUCCAGCCAUGCCGCGUGAGUGAUGAAGGCCCUAGGGUUGUAAAGCUCUUUUGUGCGGGAAGAUAAUGACGGUACCGCAAGAAUAAGCCCCGGCUAACUUCGUGCCAGCAGCCGCGGUAAUACGAAGGGGGCUAGCGUUGCUCGGAAUCACUGGGCGUAAAGGGUGCGUAGGCGGGUCUUUAAGUCAGGGGUGAAAUCCUGGAGCUCAACUCCAGAACUGCCUUUGAUACUGAAGGUCUUGAGUUCGGGAGAGGUGAGUGGAACUGCGAGUGUAGAGGUGAAAUUCGUAGAUAUUCGCAAGAACACCAGUGGCGAAGGCGGCUCACUGGCCCGAUACUGACGCUGAGGCACGA
rnacentral:rRNA from 1 species